CUCCCUGUGGUGUAGUUGGCUAUCACGUCGGGCUGUAAUUGUUCAUUUCACCUGAAGGUCACCGGCUCGACUCCGGUCGGGGAGA
rnacentral:tRNA from 1 species